AAUCAACGUUGGCGGCGCGCCUAACACAUGCAAGUCGAACGAGAAAGUGGAGCAAUCCAUGAGUACAGUGGCGUACGGGUGAGUAACACGUGGGUAAUCUGCCUGUUAGUGGGGGAAUAACCCUGGGAAACCGGGGCUAAUACCGCAUAAGUUUGUAAGAAGAAAGUCGCAAGACGCUGACAGAGGAGCCCGCGGCCGAUUAGCUAGUUGGCAGGGUAAAAGCCUACCAAGGCGACGAUCGGUAGCCGGCCUGAGAGGGCACACGGCCACACUGGCACUGAAACACGGGCCAGACUCCUACGGGAGGCAGCAGUGGGGAAUCUUGCACAAUGGGGGAAACCCUGAUGCAGCGACGCCGCGUGAGUGAUGAAGCCCUUCGGGGUGUAAAGCUCUUUCGACGGGAACGAUUAUGACGGUACCCGGAGAAGAAGCUGCGGCUAACUACGUGCCAGCAGCCGCGGUAAU
rnacentral:rRNA from 1 species